rnacentral:rRNA from 1 species
AUGAACGCUGGCGGCGUGCCUAAUACAUGCAAGUCGAGCGAACAGACGAGGAGCUUGCUCCUCUGACGUUAGCGGCGGACGGGUGAGUAACACGUGGAUAACCUACCUAUAAGACUGGGAUAACUUCGGGAAACCGGAGCUAAUACCGGAUAAUAUAUUGAACCGCAUGGUUCAAUAGUGAAAGACGGUUUUGCUGUCACUUAUAGAUGGAUCCGCGCCGCAUUAGCUAGUUGGUAAGGUAACGGCUUACCAAGGCAACGAUGCGUAGCCGACCUGAGAGGGUGAUCGGCCACACUGGAACUGAGACACGGUCCAGACUCCUACGGGAGGCAGCAGUAGGGAAUCUUCCGCAAUGGGCGAAAGCUUGACGGAGCAACGCCGCGUGAGUGAUGAAGGUCUUCGGAUCGUAAAACUCUGUUAUUAGGGAAGAACAAAUGUGUAAGUAACUAUGCACGUCUUGACGGUACCUAAUCAGAAAGCCACGGCUAUCUACGUG